UACGUAGGAUCCAAGCGUUGUCCGGAUUUACUGGGUGUAAAGGGGGCGCAGGCGGGCUGGUAAGUCUGGGGUGAAAUCUCGCCGCUUAACGGCGAAACUGCCUUAGAUACUAUCAGUCUUGGAUAAGCGAGAGGUUCGUGGAAUUCCGAGUGUAGCAGUGAAAUGUGUAGAUAUCAGGAGGAACACCAAUUGCGAAGGCAGCUCGCUGGGACGUUACUGACGCUGAGACGCGAAAGCGUGGGGAGCAAACAGG
rnacentral:rRNA from 1 species